AGCAUAUCAAUAAGCGGAGGAAAAGACACCAACAGGGAUUGCCCCAGUAACGGCGAGUGAAGCGGCAACAGCUCAAAUUUGAAAUCUGGCCCCCGGGUCCGAGUUGUAAUUUGCAGAGGAUGCUUCGGGCGAGGUGCCUUCCGAGUUCCCUGGAACGGGACGCCACAGAGGGUGAGAGCCCCGUCUGGUCGGACACCGAGCCCGUGUGAAGCUCCUUCGAAGAGUCGAGUAGUUUGGGAAUGCUGCUCAAAAUGGGAGGUAUAUGUCUUCUAAAGCUAAAUAUUGGCCAGAGACCGAUAGCGCACAAGUAGAGUGAUCGAAAGAUGAAAAGCACUUUGAAAAGAGGGUUAAAAAGUACGUGAAAUUGUUGAAAGGGAAGCGCCCAUGACCAGACUUGGGCCCGGUGAAUCACCCGGCGUUCUCGCCGGUGCACUUUGCCGGGCACAGGCCAGCAUCAGUUUGGCGCGGGGGACAAAGGCUUCGGGAACGUGGCUCCCUCGGGAGUGUUAUAGCCCGCUGCGUAAUACCCUGCGCCGGACUGAGGUACGCGCAUCGCAAGGAUGCUGGCGUAAUGGUCAUCAGCGACCCGUCUUGAAACACGGACCAAGGAGUCGUCUUCGUAUGCGAGUGUUCGGGUGUCAAACCCCUACGCGGAAUGAAAGUGAACGCAGGUGAGAGCUUCGGCGCAUCAUCGACCGAUCCUGAUGUUCUCGGAUGGAUUUGAGUAAGAGCAUACGGGGCCGGACCCGAAAGAAGGUGAACUAUGCCUGUAUAGGGUGAAGCCAGAGGAAACUCUGGUGGAAGCUCGCAGCGGUUCUGACGUGCGAAUCGAUCGUCAAAUAUGGGCAUGGGGGCGAAAGACUAAUCGAACCUUCUAGUAUCUGGUUUCCG
rnacentral:rRNA from 1 species